AACAUCGCGCACCUGCGGGAACCUGCGGAGGGAUCAUUACUGAGUCACGUGCUCAAACAACCCUUCUGUGGACCUGAAAUAAAACCGUUGCCUCGGCGGGCGGUCCCCCCCAAACCAACCCCACGUGGUGGGUUAGGGGAGACCAGACAGUCCAGUACGCUUAAGGCGUCCGGCGCCAGCCGCUGGCCCCAAACAAUUAAACUCUAGUAAUCUUUACCUUCUGAGUUUCAAUAUUUAAAA
rnacentral:misc_RNA from 1 species